GGGUUGUGAGGUUAAGCGACUAAGCGUACACGGUGGAUGCCCUGGCAGUCAGAGGCGAUGAAGGACGUGCUAAUCUGCGAAAAGCGUCGGUAAGGUGAUAUGAACCGUUAUAACCGGCGAUGUCCGAAUGGGGAAACCCAGUGUGAUUCGUCACACUAUCGUUAACUGAAUACAUAGGUUAACGAGGCGAACCGGGGGAACUGAAACAUCUAAGUACCCCGAGGAAAAGAAAUCAACCGAGAUUCCCCCAGUAGCGGCGAGCGAACGGGGAGCAGCCCAGAGUCUGAAUCAGCUUGUGUGUUA
rnacentral:rRNA from 1 species